rnacentral:rRNA from 1 species
CACGUAGGGUGCGGGCGUUGUCCGGAAUUAUUGGGCGUAAAGAGCUCGUAGGCGGCUUGUUGCGUCGACCGUGAAAACCCGCGGCUUAACUGUGGGCUUGCGGUCGAUACGGGCGGGCUGGAGUUCGGUAGGGGAGACUGGAAUUCCUGGUAUAGCGGUGAAAUGCGCAGAUAUCAGGAGGAACACCGGUGGCGAAGGCGGGUCUCUGGGCCGAUACUGACGCUGAGGAGCGAAAGCGUGGGGAGCGAACAGG